UUAGGGAAGCAGACAGGUUACGUGGCUCAUGUAAUGUGGAUUAUAAUCAUUACGCUGGCUGUAUUGUUUGUAAUCCACUUUAUCUGUAAACUCUAUAAAGAAAUUCAGAUGAACCAUCCAAAUCGUGUUUCCAUGUUGGUCCGAUCAUCCAUCACGAUCACGGACAAUCCACUCAAUUCCACAUGCAACAUCCGUCACAUGAUCAAAGACUCCAGUCAGCGUGCUAAAAUGUUUGUGCUCAGCACGAUCGCAUUUGUUCUGUGCUGGUACCCUUUGUUUUUGCUCAUUCUUGUUGACUCGGAAUUCAAACAACGACCAAAGAUGUACCAGGCCUUCAGUUUCAUUGCUUGGACUCAGGGCACAAUCCAGCCCAUUCUCUACAUCUGCUUCGACAGACACAUUGACAUCCUGGCCAAGUACAUCUACUGUGAUCGCUACCGACAGGAAAAUCUUGCUGCCUUAGCUGACUGGAUGACCACGCAAGCCGCCAUCAACCAGGAGGAGCACCACGAGGAAGACGAAGAUCAAGGUCAAAUGGAUUUCGCAGAAGGUCAAGGUCAACCAGGGAUUGAGGACACCAACAGUAUUAACAUGGAUGACUGUAUAAGUGCUUUAAGCUCUCGCAGUACCUACAGAUCUCGCCCUAGCCAUGAGGCUACCCCCGAGUCAAACUCGGAUAACACCUCGAGCUUGCUCAUGAGUCGAGCUGAGACUCACACUUCCAGCAACCCUCACAUCCGCGGUGACUUUCGUAUAUCAUGUUGACCUUGAUUAUUCAUGGCAUGAUCACUGUUGGUCUGUUGUUCUAUUCACAUUCUAUGACAUGUAUAUUUAUUUAGAUAAUAAAUCUAUUCACUGGUUGAAUCUUCU
rnacentral:misc_RNA from 1 species